rnacentral:lncRNA from 1 species
AUGUCACUCGUUCUCUCUGUUGUCAUGUAUUUUCCAGAAUCUUGCUUUGGAAACCUAGGAUCUUGCUUCAGGAGUCUGAGGGCAAUUUUGUUCUUUACCACCUUGGCUGGAAUAAUCCCAUGGUGGCCACACAACAGGGUGCACCCUGCCAAUGAGCCAGAUGAAGCAACCCUCGAUGAUGUUGUGGAGGCCGGCGGGAGUGAGAAGACGGAGGAAGAGGCCCUGGCUGGGGCAAAUGAGGAGGAGGUGGGGCCGGGAACUGAGAAGGUGCAGGAGGAGGCUGCCUGCAUUGACGAGGCAGAGGAGGAGGCAGGCCCAUCCCUUGAAAAUGACGAGGAGUCCCCAGCCAGCGACCUGGUUGAGCAGGAAGACCAGCUUGCCCCAAGGUAAGCUCACCUUUCUUGAUCGGAGAUUUAAAAAGGU